rnacentral:rRNA from 1 species
UACGGGGGGAGCGAACGUUGUUCGGAAUCACUGGGCGUAAAGGGCGUGCAGGCGGUCCGGUAAGAGGGAUGUGAAAUGCCCUGGCUCAACCAGGGAACUGCAUUUCUUACUGCCGGACUUGAGCAUGGGAGAGGAUGCGGGAAUUCCCGGUGUAGCGGUGAAAUGCAUUGAUAUCGGGAGGAACACCAGUGGCGAAGGCGCGCAUCUGGCCCAUUGCUGACGCUCAGGCGCGAAAGCUAGGGGAGCAAACAGG